rnacentral:lncRNA from 1 species
CAACACAGGGCCGGGCCGCAGCCUCCCGCUGGGAACUGGACGACAGGCUGCUUUGGCUCUGGGGUGCCCAGAUGAUGCCCGGCACGGCAGCUGUGGGCACGGAACUGUUGGGGCGCUCCUCUUGCAAAGGGCCUUUUGUAGAAGCGAGAGCAGCCCCGGCCACCUGUACUGCCCGCAGGCUGCUAGCAGGAAGCAAGCAGGGCCAUCAAACUCAGCAGGCGUGUCGGGGGCACCUCCGGCCCCCCGGGCACACACGGCUGGUUUGUUCUGCCCGCUGCUCAGCGGGGAUGGGAGGAGCAGGGCAGGAGCAGAUUAGUGGCCGUA